AUGCUCUCGUUUGUUUUUGAUGUUUUAAUUAAGCAAUUUUUCACUGAUUAUGUUAGAAUUCUAAUAUUCAUUUUUAAUGUUAGAUUCUGUUGGAUGGAUACUUGUUAUGUUAAAUUGUGUUGGAUACUUGGAUUUAAUAUUUAUAGGGUUUUUUUUAAUAUUACAGGGUUUUUUUAACAAAAAAAAUAAAAUAUUAUUUUUGGGUUUUUUUAUAAAUGUUAUUCGAAUCGAAUUCGGAUAUCCGAAUCCGAAUUCGGAUAUUUUUAAUCUAAUUCGAAUUCGGAUACGGAUUUUGAAAUUCGAAUACUAAUCGGACGAAUUCGGAUUAUCCAGAUACUAAUCGAAUUCGGAUACAGGGGUAUCCGGUUCGAAUUCGUUCGAUUGACAGGGCUAUUCCAUACCUUCUACCUCCUCACGUACACGUCUUCAUCUUCUUCUUUUUUCACCUCGCCGGAGUUGCUGCUACCCAUUGCGACUUUCACCUAUUUUCUUCAACCUUCACCUAUUUUUUUCAACUUUCACCUCCCUGUCGGUAUGUGACUCUCUUUCGUCUUCAUAUUCGUUUUUUUUGUCAUGUAUGACUCUCUAUAUUUUCAUCCGCAAAUCUAUUCCCGUCUUCUAUUAUACCUUACCGUCUUCUCAAUUUAAAGAAUCGUUGUUCAAUCUGAUCAACCCACGAAAAAAGAAAUAAACGCAAUCUGGUUAUUAAAAAAAAAGAAUUACGCAGUCGCAAUCAGAGAAAGGGGGAAAAAAGAAAACACAAACCAGACUGCAACGAUCGGUUAGUUGCAGAUAGCACUCCAGUAUGGAAUCUCUGACGGAAACGACGAUAGCGCAGAUCCAGACGAGCAAUCCAGAUUGACGAUAGCGCAGAUCGCGUGACCAGACGCGGAAUCUGGAAUUUUCUCCUAAAAUGCAGACACGAACGCGGAAGUUGGUGACGCCGCAGGAAGAAAAUUCAAGAAUGAAGAGAAUGAGAAUCAACUAAGUUGAAUCAUAACCGACUGAUACCAUGUUUAACUUAUCAAAACUUAAUUGAAAUCAAAUCAUAACAUCUAUUUCAUUAAACUCAAACAGAAUGAAUACAAGAGUAUUUAUAGAAUGUUGGUAACUAAUACAAUUACCAUUUUAACCAAAGUAAUCAUCUAUAUUACUAACUAACUAAAUCAAUACUAAUUAGUAGAAUGAUAACUCUCAUGACAGUAUGUGACUCUCUUUCGUCUUCAUAUUCAUUUUUUUUGUCAUGUAUGACUCUCUAUAUUUUCAUCUGCAAAUCUAUUACCGUCUUCUAUCAUAUCUUACCGUCUUCUCAAUUUAAAGAAUCGUUGUUCAAUCUGAUCCUCUUGGUUAAAUUUUAUUUAAUGAAGUAGUUCACGUACUUGAUGAAAUAAAUGUUCCUGAGGUAAAAAUACAUGUUCCUGAAGCCGUUAAAAUCAUUGUUCCUCAAAUGGGUGAACCGGUUCGUCCUCAAUCGGUUAACACCCCUUGUUCCUCAAAUGCCUUCAAUCAAUGUCCCAGAAAUGUUAAAACCGUUGUUCCUUAAUUGAUUGAUACCAUUGUUUCUAUA
rnacentral:lncRNA from 1 species